AUGUUGGGCUACGGUUGCGGUUGUUUUUCCUUGUACAUGAAGAUGCAGUAUUAUGACCUCCAGAAGGAAUUUGCUGCAAUCCUUUUGGAGCAUGGAGAAGAACACACGAAGAGGGAGCUAGCUAAAAUAAUACUCAAUAACCAUAGCGCUGACAAAUCACUGGUUGAAGUUCUGAAGAGGCACUAUGUAGCUGAUCAUCUGUUGAGUGAUGAGCAUCAAGAGAAGCAACUUUUCAGGUGGCGCCAACGCCAUUCGUAUGUGGACAGCGCUUUUAUGGAAAGGUUGGAGGAGGAACUUAUAGAAGUGGUGAAGAAGAAAGUUAUAGAAAGGUUGGAGAAGUCUGAAGCAAACAACGCCGAUGCUGAGGCCGAAUCAAGUGCAAACGUUGGAUUAUUUGAGGAGGAUCCACUGGCUUGUGUGCUUGGCACUCCAGACAGCAACAGGAAGAUGAACAUGUUGCACACAGGCACUGUCCUGAUGAGACGGGAGCUGCUCAUCGAAGAAGUUACUGGCAGCAUCGUCUCCAACAUCCUGAAAACUGCUGCAUUAUGA
rnacentral:rRNA from 1 species